UUCUCCCUCUCCGUCUUCUCUCUCACUCUGUUAGCAAUCCCAAAAUUUCUACCGCCUCUCUCCUCACUGCGUAAAAAUUACUCCGCCACAAGCUCCCUCUCAUUGCUCCGCCGUCGCUCCAGUUUUCUCCGCCGCCGCCGCUCUCCGCACACAAUCGAACACCAAGUUUUUCGACAAACCUCCACCACCGGUUGGUUCUUUGACUCCACCACCAAUAAAACUUCCUGUGACUAAGCUGCUUGGGCUGCUAAUACCAGAUUCAAUUUCGGAGACUAUCUCAGGAGCCAGAGUGAGGGUUUUUAUGUAUCUGAGCAACAUUUGAAGUGAGCAUCACCCAAGAUUUUCACUGCAUAUAGUUACAAGUUACAACGCCUUGAGUUUGAUGACUUCGUUACUGGAUGGGUAGAUUAUUGGUGAAAUAUCUGUGGCUGGUGCAAGAUACAAAUCCAUUAAAUUUGUUGGCUCUACUGUUAUAAGCUUGACUAUAGAUUACAGCAUAACAUUGUGCAACAUGGUUAUUGAAGCUGGGGAAAGAACGGCAUUGUCCCUGCUGAUGCAACAACCUUCAAGUAUCUCCAGGACAAGACAUCGGUUCCUUAUGAACCAGUUUAUAGUGAUGGACAAGCAAGUUUUGAUUAGAUUUUUCUCGGAGUACAAAUUUGAUAUCACAAAGUUGGAGCCUUGGUGUCCAAGGUGAUUACGUGGUAGCUGAUGCCUUCCUCCUCAUCGUGUACGUCUGGCUGGCAUUACGAGACAUUGAAGCGAUACGGAUUGAAGAUGCAUAGCAAGGUUCUGCUGGCUUGGAUUCUAGGUCUUGACUCAAGCUUAGUACUUGUCCACAUCCUUUGUAUUCAAAUUCUUAAAUUUUUAGCAUUUCAAUUCAAUUCACUGGAAAACAAUUGAAUUCAAUUUAAUAUAAUGCAAUUUCAGUUUUGUUUA